UAAACGACUCUCGGCAACGGAUAUCUCGGCUCUCGCAUCGAUGAAGAACGUAGCGAAGUGCGAUACUUGGUGUGAAUUGCAGAAUCCCGUGAACCAUCGAGUUUUUGAACGCAAGUUGCGCCCGAAGCCACUAGGCCGAGGGCACGCCUGCCUGGGCGUCACGC
rnacentral:rRNA from 1 species